rnacentral:rRNA from 1 species
GAUGAACGCUGGCGGCGUGCCUAAUACAUGCAAGUCGAACGGGAUCCCAAGAUUUCGGUUUUGGGUGAGAGUGGCGCACGGGUGAGUAACACGUAGCUGACCUGCCCUUUGCUGGGGGAUAACCCGGGGAAACCCGGGCUAAUACCGCGUAAGCUCAAUGGUCUUAGAAGCCAUUGAGGAAAGUGUAUGGCAACGGCGAAGGAGGGGGCUGCGGGCCAUCAGCUAGUUGGUGAGGUAACGGCUCACCAAGGCGAAGACGGCUAGGGGACCUGAGAGGGUGACCCCCCACACUGGGACUGAGACACGGCCCAGACUCCUACGGGAGGCAGCAGUAAGGAAUAUUGCCCAAUGGACGCCAGUCUGAGGCAGCAACGCCGCGUGGAGGAUGACGGUCUUCGGAUUGUAAACUCCUUUUCUGUGUGAAAGAGCAGGACGGUAGCACAGGAAGAAGUCUCGGCUAACUACGU